AGCUCAGUUCAAGUGACCUUUGACAGGAUUAAGCCAGGAAGCACGCCCCCAAAGUUCCAGAAUGUCCAAGCAGUUGCAGGUCAAAAAGAUCAUUUGAUAGUGACGUGUCAGUUAGAAUCAACAGGGUUUGGUUUCAUAGUGUUUGCAACCCAGCAAACGGCUGCCAGUGUCAAACUAUCUACCUGUGAUGUCAGUGUCAACAGACUUUCUGGAAAGCUUAAGUCUAAGGUAGGUU